CGAUCUCCUCUUAAAGGGAAAACCUACGGCAUAGAGCAAAUGGGGGAAAUCGAGGUGAAGAAAUAAGGAAAGUCCCGCAGACGUGAUUAGCACGUCUGAAUAUACCUCCUUUCGUUUCUCUGCCGCAGGCCUCCCAUGAAUAUUCCAUAAGGUAGAUCAUGAUAUGAUCUAAGAGGGGAAUUGUAGAUGCGAAUAUCCAUUUUGCUCUAUAUCCUAACUGUUCAUGUAAGGGUUAAUUUGAAUCAAGAAUAAAUUUGGAAUUGUAUCUCCAAUUCUCAGAAAUGUUAUUGAAACUUUGUUAUGUUCCUGGAAAAUGAUAUUUACAUGACAUGACAUGACAUGACAUGACAUGAUAAGGAUUCUGGAAUGACCUUGUUAAUUGUCCAAGAUUUCUGUAUUUGUAAUCAUCUGGGUUUUAUCCAAUAUGCAUACAUUAUGUAACAUCGAAUUAU